rnacentral:lncRNA from 1 species
GGGACCUUCAUCUUCAAUUUCAGGUCAUGAUGAAAUUUAACCUUGACCUUCAAAGUGUACUAUGACCUUGACCUUUUGACAUUUUUUCUACAAUGUUGUUCUUCAACUGCAGAUCUUUUAUCACUUAACAGAUUUGAGAUAUCUGCUGUAGUUUUAGAGAUAAUUAAGGUUUAAGUUUUGCGAGCGGAGGCAUGUAUUUUUGAAGCAACAACAGGUUACCACCUGAUAUUAUCUGAAAUUGAAGAGUUUAACAUGGUUAUAUGUUUGACCAAAUAACAAAAACAUUC